CCUCCCUAUUGCAUCCGUGGCCUCGGACUCUCUCUCUCUCUCUCUGACGCACCCAGUUUAGGUCACUCGACCAGGUAAUUUCGCUCGAGUUUGAUUUAUAGAUCUCAUCAAACAUCGAAUUUCAUGUGGCAUUUUUCUCUUGCUCUUAUUAGCCGAAGAUGAUUAUUUACAUCAGCCAUAUGAUUUCUGUGAAGACCUUGGAUUUUUUAGUUUGAGCUUCCAUUGUUUGAUACAUGUAAUCAAUCAUUUGAAGUUCUGCUUUAAACUGACAAUGGCUAUUGAUAUAUUUGGAUUUUUCUGGAUAAAACGCCAAGAAAUUACUAUUUCUCUUGUUUGAGAUAGCUAGAUUAUUAUAAUGACUAUAGUACUAUACUAUAUCCCAUCUCCAUAGUUUAGUUUGGGCUGGCUUGAAUUUUUUCAUAGAAAAGCAAUUGAGCUCAUAGUUGGUGUUUCAGACAUAUGUUUUUAAAGUUUUUAGCAAUCAAACAAAAAAAACUGUACAGGCUAAAGAAGCAAAGACAAAAAACAAGAAGAGUUUGAGCUUGUAAUAAGCAAUGGCGGAGCAACAAAAUUCGGAGGGGGCCGAACUGUGAAAGAAAUUUUGGUUUGAUGAUUUUUCAAGACGAAAUCCAGUCACUCAAGUUUUUGCAGAACGAUUUUGAUAAAUUGAACAAGUAAUCUCUAGUAUUGUUGCUAUCGUCUCAUUCGACGACACGCAGUAUCAUUACUGCAUGGUAUCACUUACUCUUACCGCAUGGUAUCACUUACUAUAAUUUAGUGUGCUUGAAAUUGGGUGGAGCUGGGGCCACUCCCGACUCCACAAUAGUUCUGCGACCAGCAUUUGUUAAUUCUAAUAGCUAUUGUAUUGCUUUGAAAGAUUGGAGUUUAAACCUUAGCCAAAGUUUAUGAUUCUUGAAUGUAAAAGAUGGUAUUUAGAACUUUUAAGUGGUUGACCAAUAAAAUGUUGGUGUUCAAAGCUUAACUCAAUAACUAAUUGCAAUAAAUUAGAAAUAUAAAACUUAUGUGAAUUAGCGGUAUUAGUCUAGAAAUACAAGAAGGUAUAGAUGAAUUUGAGGCCAGGCCGCAAGAGAGAAAUCUCUUGUGAAUCCCCUAGUCCUGGCGUGAAUGGUUUAUCUUUGACCCAGCCAGAGAGGGGAAUAGUUGAGGUGCGUGCUAGCCUUGACAUCUUGUCCUUCAACCAAAAAAAGAUAUGAAUUUGUGCCCAAAAAAUUAUACAAAAACUAUUUGUGAUACAAUUAAGUACUGGACAACACAAUGUAUUCGGCAGGCAAGUACAAGUUAGAUCAAGGUUUGAACUUGUUAUGGACUGGUUCACUAGAAAGAAGAGAACUUGGAUGGAGUGCUGAUAAGCACCCAAUAAUGUAUAUUCUUGCUGCUUAAGUCCUUAGUUUUAUUGUAUUUACGUUUAUAAAGUUAAUGUUUUAUGUGAUAUUGCACGUAAGGUAGGUUUUGUGUGUUUCAGGUAAUUCGUAUAAAUAAGGCGCGUUUGAACGCCAAGGAAUGCUUCGAGUGCAACUAAGUAUCCAAGGCCACGUGCCACCCUGUUGUUGUACCCGAAAAGUCAUGUAAAGAUGGUUUAGAGGUUGCUCGGGAUGCCUAAGGGUCAAGGGAAUUGAAGGAGAUGUGAGGAUUUUACCAAAGCUAUUCAUUUUUCGACCAACUGAGGAUAUAAUCGUUAUAUCUUUUGAUCUACAAAUUAUUUUUGAUCGAAACCACUUGGGUUAGAAAGUAGACGCGACAAGCUUUCCAACAGUUCAAAUAACACCCAAAUCCGAAUUCGGGAGUGUCCAGAGCGAGCCCGCGAAGUUCAGCCAAACAAAUCUUCCUUAAUGGCCCGGGUAUUGAUACUAGUUUUCAUAGGUGUCAAUAUCAAGCACCUUAAAUGAUACCGGAUUUUUCAAAUGGGACGAAAGAAAAGUAAAAAAGGGAUAAAAUUAUAAACGCUCACCACCCAAGUUAGGAAAUCAACGGGAUACAGAUAUCACCACCCGAGGAUUUAACUAAGGAUACAGGGCAUAGGGAUCGCUCACCACUCAAAGGAAUCCACCUAAGAGAUACAGAAACGAUGAACAAGAAGAUAAACGUCUCACUAGCCAAAGGCUAUAUUUUAAUUCAACACACAACUUAGGAUUUCAUUCAUAGCAACACAAUUUAUAGGCAACUUGGAACAACCCUCCAAGAAUAGGAAAAGACACUUAACAUUUUCAAGACACAAAUUAAAAAGGACUUGACCAAAGAGUAAUUGAUAUAUGUGUUUGACUCUUGAAAACAUAAAGACACUAAGAAACUUAAAAAUAACAUAAAAACAUUCCUAGAGAAAUUAAGGACACCAUGAGAAAUGCAAAAGGCUGACUCGAUACUUGUUACAUGAAAAUAAUUUAAUAUUGUUACUUUUGUGCCGAACACAAAAUUGAGAAUAUAACAAAUCAACAAGCGAUAAACAAGAACACAAGGAUAUACGUGGUUUCGCUCAAGCACAAAGCAACAACGUACUCCACGGGGAAAAGAGCAAGAGGAUUCAUUAUAAACAGGGAGAGAAACAAAGAGCCUGCUAUACCCGUAACUCUACUUGAAGCACCAAACAGAUAUCUAGAAACAAAUCUCUGGUGGAACCCAAGAGGGAGACACAAACCCUCAGUGGAACCCUAAAAGAUGAACAAAACCCUAAUAUUUAAGCCCUUGAACAAAAGGCCAUAAUACUAUUAGCCCUCAAACCCUUUAUUUAUAAUAGGGUACAAAAACGGGAACAACAUAAUAAACCAAUGUGGGACAAAAUAUUCAAGGCAUUCCCAACAGUUACGAAACUCCAUUGUCAAACUCCCCUGGUUGAAAAAGACUCGCCCUGGAGUCUUCGUUGGAAGUUUUGGGCUUGGUUUACUUUUUUUUUUUCUUCUUUCUCUUGUGCAGACGAUUCUCUUGUAUAGGAGUAAGUUCCUCAUGACCAUUGAAAGCCUCUCCCGCUUCCUUUUCUUUACUUGCAGAUAUAACUUUACGCGUUGACAGUUCACCUUUAAUUCAUAAAAAUUUUCUGGACCUCGAUAGACGAUACUCCUUUCCUGUUCUUCAUUUUCUUGAUUUCCCGCAACUAAAUUGUUAUUCGAUGGGAGACCUUGUUGGAUUAAAACUUUUGUACAACCCUCAACAUCGAAACUAGGAUUGCAUUGCUCAAUAGCCAGUGAAGGCGUGGAUAAUCAAGAAUCCAUCUUCAUUAUACUCAUCGUACAUUGGAGGCAAACUGAAUUCUACUUGUGGUUGUGGAAUUGUUGAAUCUUUAACGAAAAAAAUUCCUUCCAACAUGUUUUGAUCUUCAAACGCCAUGGGAUGAAUGAAAACUCAACAGGAUGGAUAGCUGUGCUCUGAUACCAAACUGAUACCGGAUUUUUCCGAUGGAACGGAAGAAAAGUAAAAAAGGGAUAAAAUUAUAAACGCUCACCACCCAAGUUAGGAAAUCAACGGGAUACAGAUAUCACCACCCGAGGAUUUAACUAAGGAUACAGGGCGUAGGGAUCACUCACCACUCAAAGGAAUCCACCUAAGAGAUACAGAAACGAUGAACAAGAAGAUAAACUUCUCACUAGCCAAAGGCUAUAUUUUAAUUCAACACACAACUUAGGAUUUCAUUCAUAGCAACACAAUUUAUAGGCAACUUGGAACAGCCCUCCAAGAAUAGGAAAAGACACUUAACAUUUUCAAGACACAAAUUAAAAAGGACGUGACCAAAGAGUAAUUGAUAUAUGUGUUUGACUCUUGAAAACAUAAAGACACUUAGAAACUUAAAAAUAACAUAAAAACAUUCCUAGAGAAAUUAAGGACUCCAUGAGAAAUGCAAAAGGUUGACUCAAUACUUGUUACGAGAAAAUAAUUUAAUAUUGUUACGAAACUCCGUUGUCGUUAAAUCACUCAGAAACUGAACAGGCCCGGUUUUGAGGUAUUGAUACCAAAGCCCUUCGUCCAGAUUUUUGCUCACUUUAUGCCACUUUUCCAUUUAUGAAAAGUUUCCACUUAUGGAAUGUUUUGGAAUAUUUUAGGGACCUUUUGGUCUUUUGUAAGGGAUAUUUUGCAAGCCAUAUAAAUAAGCUUGUAUGCCAUAUAUGAUAGAUAGUUAGCUUUAGGCCUAAGUUAGAUUUUUUAUGCUUUAAGUCUUUUUUGCUUUCUAGGAUUUCCAUUGUUGUUCUUCCAAGCUUUUCAAGUUAUUUCCUUAAGAACUCAAGUAAGUAUUUGUCGUACGUUAAUUUCCCAUUUGUUAAUGUUGUAGCUACGGCUUGGAUCUUCGUUAAUAUCAAGUUUAUUUCAGUUUUUAUCGGUUAAAUCUCAUGGCUUAUUUUCCUAUUAUGUCUUGUUCUUUUACUAUGUGUGAGUAGUUUAUAAGGUUGGGUCAUGGGGUGAUUUUUUCCCCAUGACUUAGUGGUUUGAAUGGUUUAUCUAUAACUUGAUCAUGGUUUAGUAAGGAAAUGCUCAAAUCUCUUAUUUUCGGCCAAACCUUAAAGUUGUUACCCUUUUUGAUUGUGUGUUGGCCAGAGUUUUAACCUGUUUGUCGCACACGAUGCUUGGUGCUUUAACGCUCCAUGCGUUUGAACUAAAAGUUUACUAAACGAGUUUAAGCCAUUUCCAAACUAAAUCCAUGAUUAUGCUUGACUUAAACGUUGAGUGCUUCGGGUUCAAGAUUUUCUACGUCUUGACCUUGAGUUGUUAGAAAGAAAUGAUUAAAACGGCUAAGUCAUCGGGUGGUUUGAUCUCCUAGACCUUGCCGCCUGUUUUAUCUAAGUUCAAACCUCAUUUCUAGUCUUUUUACAAUAGUUUUCCACUUUUCAAAGCAAAACCGACAGUUGGCCGUCCAAACGCCACAAACCUCACAUAAAGCCUACAAUCCGAACUAGGUAUAUUCGAACUCCCUGUGGUACGAUCUCGGUCUUACCAAGUUAUUCUGCAAACGACUCGAAGCCCUACGCUUUGGGCUAUACAUCCAGGCGUACCAUCUUCCAUCGUAAGCAAGUGCUUUGGUGAGAAAGAAAGAAUUAUGGUUCCUCACCAAGUUUCACUAAAACAAGUGAUAGGAUUCUCAUUUCUUUAUUUUGGUUACCAAACCCCUCCAUCCAGACAGAUUGCUUGGCAUUUCCCCCCGCAGGAUAUGGCCUGCUUUCUCCAGCCAAAAUGACUGAACAGAACUAUGAUUUUCUGUUUUUGGAUUGUUGUUGCAAUCAAGUUUGUGGUUUGUGAUAUGUGUGCUUGAAUUGUUGGAGGGCAUAUUGCUUUAUUUUACUGAAAGAUUGAGGAAAAUAAUAAUUAGCUUCAAUUAUUACUGCUGUUUGGACUUAGAUGCCCUAGGUACAAAUUUUUUUUGCAUUCGCAUCUAGGAAAAAAAAGAUUCAAACACCAGUUACUUGUUUCUAUUUCCUAGUGAAGCGAGCAAUGGGAAAAUGUAAGCAAAUUGAAGCACAAUGACGGACUUUUGAAUAUUGUAUCACACGUUCGAUUCGUAAGCUUUUUAGAUCAUUUGCUGUAAGUAUGAACUUGAAGUGGGGAGAUACAAUGAUUGUUUGUCUUGCAGUGUUCUGUUACAGAAAGUAGCUACAACUUUCAUAGAGAGAUACACGAUAUAUGUAUCCCCAGGCUUGAUGUACAUAAAGCCAUCAAACCUGUUGUCUUUCAACUAGUGUGCCUGCUCAAUUGUCUUUCUGAUUUAGGAUGGUGUUGUAUGUGUGGCUCAGCUUCUCACUUUUAGUGUCACUGUAUAGUAUGGUUUGCAAUCACAAGGAAUCAGUCGAAAGGAAAAUUACUUUACUGGGUACCAGCUUCUACCAUCCUCAAUGAUGAAGCAUAAAUGGACAUAGUUCUUCUGGUAAUAGUGCAAUUUUUCGCUGGGGAUUGAUACAACGUUUUCAAUGGAUGACUUGAAAAGUGUCCCCCAUUCAUCCAUAUCCUAUAGAUCUAUCCGACCCUCUAAUUUAGAGGCGCUCGAGAAAAUCCAUUGUGAUCUAUUCCCUAUUAGGUAUGAGUCGGAGUUCUUCCAUAAUAUUGUAAAUGGCCAUAACAUUGUGUCUUGGGGAGCUGUUGACUGCAGCCGAUCCAAUGGAAAAAAUGAUGAUCUUAUCGGAUUUGUUGGAUUUGUUACAGCAUGGAUAGUUCCGGCAAAAGGGAGUGAGGGAGCUUGUUACGCUCAUUGUGACUUAUCUGAAGAAUGGACUUAAGCUGGUUGCUGCGAAGCUAUGGAAUGACAAAGGGAAGAUCUCUAGAUGGGCUAAUAAUGAAGAAACAUGUUGCCUUUUAACAGCAGGGCAAAGCAAAAGCAUCCUUAUGGCUGAAGGUGGCAGGUUCCAGUGUGUGUAGUCAUUUCAUUUGAUGAGGUUAUGUUAUUGGGAUGGGCUCACCGCUCAUGGUCAUAAGUUAUUCUGUUUGUCUUUUCCUCCCUCUUACCCGCUCCCCUUCCCUCUACCUUCAAUCGUGUGUCCCCACGCGGAGAAAUAGUUUAUCAGCGUGACUCAUUAUAUGCUCUCCAUUUUAGGGUUGUGUUAACCUGUAUUAAUUUAGGCCAAUCAUAAAGAUGAGUACAUUGUGAAUUUCUGAGUGCUCAUAAUAGCUUAGAUCCAUUUCAGGAUGAUUUUCAGCUGCCUCCUUGUUUCUCUUAUUGUUUCCUGAUCGAAAUGGUGUAUUGUUCACAUUCCCAUUCUCGAGUUAAAGGAUGAACUGUUGCACUAUCAGCAUCAGUUAUAUAGAAGAUUUUGUGCAGAUUCAGAGAAUGCAAACAAUACAAUGCUUUUUGAAUCCAAAUAACAUCCACCUUUGGUUUAGGAAAGAGGAAAUAUGAUAGAUGUUCAUACUGCAUUAUCUACUGAUAUAUACUAAUGUGGACGGUUUGAGAACAACAGAUGGAUAGACAUGAAUGUAAAAACAAUUGGCAGAGUGCAGAUUUUGAAGGUCAAGGAAUAAUCAGCAGUACAGUUUAGUAGCCUUGUUCAUACGUGAUUUUUUUAUUCAACUCUUAAUUAAGUGUUAUUGUUUGUGAGGUAAUUGGUGGCAGCUUCCAUAAGCGUCACCAGCAUCUGGAUACUGACCAUUGAAUCGUUAGCAGCAGAAUCUUCCUUGAGAUCAUACUCAAUCGUGGAUCUGGUGAUGCACAAUUCCUUGCCUUUCUCAAUGACUUCGAAUUGGACCUGAUACAGAGUAAAUCCCACAUCAAGGUAUCCUCCUUCCACCGCCUCUCUACUUUCACUCGUUUCUCAUCAUCAACCUUGGUAAACUAAUCCUUGUAUGAGCUAAAACCACACGUGCCUAGU